rnacentral:rRNA from 1 species
GAGAGUUUGAUUAUGGCUCAGAUUGAACGCUGGCGGCGUGCCUAACACAUGCAAGUCGAACGCGAAAGGGACUUCGGUCCUGAGUAAAGUGGCGCACGGGUGAGUAACACGUGGAUAAUCUACCUUUAAGUUUGGAAUAACGGCUGGAAACGGUCGCUAAUACCGGAUACGCUCUUGGGUUUAUCUUCAAGGGGAAAGGGGGCCUCUGUAUAUGCUCCCGCUUAUUGAUGAGUCCGCGUCCCAUUAGCUAGUUGGCGGGGUAAUGGCCCACCAAGGCAACGAUGGGUAGCCGGUCUGAGAGGAUGACCGGCCACACUGGGACUGGAACACGGCCCAGACUCCUACGGGAGGCAGCAGUGGGGAAUAUUGCGCAAUGGGCGAAAGCCUGACGCAGCGACGCCGCGUGAGGGAUGAAGGCCUUCGGGUCGUAAACCUCUGUCAGGAGGGAAGAACCGGCAUGGUGCUAAUCAGCCAUGCUCUGACGGUACCUCCAAAGGAAGCACCGGCUAACUCCGUGCCAGCAGCCGCGGUAAUACGGAGGGUGCGAGCGUUAAUCGGAAUCACUGGGCGUAAAGCGCGCGUAGGCUGUUUUGUAAGUUAGGGGUGAAAUCCCACCGCUCAACGGUGGAACUGCCUUUAAAACUGCGAGACUUGAGUACGGGGAGAGGGUGGCGGAAUUCCAGGUGUAGGGGUGAAAUCCGUAGAUAUCUGGAGGAACACCGGUGGCGAACGUGGCCACCUGGCCCGUAACUGACGCUGAGGUGCGAAAGCGUGGGUAGCAAACAGGAUUAGAUACCCUGGUACUCCACGCUGUAAACGAUGGGAUCCUUGGUGCUGGGGAGUUAUCUUCGGUGCCGUAACUACGGCGUUAAGUUUCCCGCCUGGGGAAGUACCGUCUCAAGGAUGAAAUCUCAAAAAAAUCGACGGGGGCCGGACAAGCGGGGGAGUAUGUGGUUUAAAAUCGCAGGCAGCGCGGAAGACC